rnacentral:misc_RNA from 1 species
CAACCCUCAGGCCCCCAGUGCCUGGCGUUGGGGAUCGGCGCGGCGCCCCUCCGGGGGCGCUGCCGGCCCCGAAAUUCAGUGGCGGUCUCGCUGUAGCCCUCCUCCGCGUAGUAGCACAACCUCGCGGCCUGGAGCUCGGCGGUGGCCAUGCCGUAAAACACCCCACUUCUGAA